rnacentral:rRNA from 1 species
GAAAAGGAAACUAACAAGGAYUCCCCUAGUAACGGCGAGUGAAGAGGGAAGAGCCCAAGAUUGAAAGCUGGCGUCUUUGGCGUCCGCAUUGUAAUCUCAAGAAGUGUUUUCCGCUUCGGACCAUGCCUAAGUCCCUUGGAAAAGGGCAUCAUAGAGGGUGAUAAUCCCGUACAUGGCAUGGAGCGCCCGAAGCUUUGUGAUACACUUUCUAAGAGUCGAGUUGUUUGGGAAUGCAGCUCAAAAUGGGUGGUAAAUGCCAUCUAAGGCUAAAUAUUGGGGAGAGACCGAUAGCGAACAAGUACAGUGAUGGAAAGAUGAAAAGAACUUUGAAAAGAGAGUUAAACAGUACGUGAAAUUGCCAAAAGGGAAGGGUAGGAGGUCAGAGAUGCGGUCUGGGAUUCAGCCUUGCUUUUGCUGGGUGUUUUUCUCAGAUUGCAGGCCAGCGUCGGUUUUGGGCGCUGGAGAAGGGUGGAAGGAAUGUGGCACCUCUCGGGGUGUGUUAUAGCCUUCUACUGGAUACAGUGACCGAGACCGAGGACAGCAGCGUACUCGCAAGAGCGGGCCUUCGGGCACCUUUACGCUUAGGGCGUUGGCAUAAUGGCCCUCUACCACCCGUCUUGAA